GGGUAGGCGGGUACUAAUACAUGCAAGUCGAGCGAACUGAUUAGAAGCUUGCUUCUAUGACGUUAGCGGCGGACGGGUGAGUAACACGUGGGCAACCUGCCUGUAAGACUGGGAUAACUUCGGGAAACCGAAGCUAAUACCGGAUAGGAUCUUCUCCUUCAUGGGAGAUGAUUGAAAGAUGGUUUCGGCUAUCACUUACAGAUGGGCCCGCGGUGCAUUAGCUAGUUGGUGAGGUAACGGCUCACCAAGGCAACGAUGCAUAGCCGACCUGAGAGGGUGAUCGGCCACACUGGGACUGAGACACGGCCCAGACUCCUACGGGAGGCAGCAGUAGGGAAUCUUCCGCAAUGGACGAAAGUCUGACGGAGCAACGCCGCGUGAGUGAUGAAGGCUUUCGGGUCGUAAAACUCUGUUGUUAGGGAAGAACAAGUACGAGAGUAACUGCUCGUACCUUGACGGUACCUAACCAGAAAGCCACGGCUAACUACGUGCCAGCAGCCGCGGUAAUACGUAGGUGGCAAGCGUUAUCCGGAAUUAUUGGGCGUAAAGCGCGCGCAGGCGGUUUCUUAAGUCUGAUGUGAAAGCCCACGGCUCAACCGUGGAGGGUCAUUGGAAACUGGGGAACUUGAGUGCAGAAGAGAAAAGCGGAAUUCCACGUGUAGCGGUGAAAUGCGUAGAGAUGUGGAGGAACACCAGUGGCGAAGGCGGCUUUUUGGUCUGUAACUGACGCUGAGGCGCGAAAGCGUGGGGAGCAAACAGGAUUAGAUACCGGGGUAGUC
rnacentral:rRNA from 2 species